GAUGAACGCUGGCGGAAUGCUUUACACAUGCAAGUCGAACGGUAGAGGGGGCAACCCCUUGAGAGUGGCGAACGGGUGAGUAAUAUAUCGGAACGUGCCCAGUCGUGGGGAUAACGUAGCGAAAGUUACGCUAAUACCGCAUACGAUCUAAGGAUGAAAGCGGGGGGUCGCAAGACCUCGCGCGAUUGGAGCGGCCGAUAUCAGAUUAGGUAGUUGGUGAGGUAAAGGCUCACCAAGCCAACGAUCUGUAGCUGGUUUGAGAGAACGACCAGCCACACUGGGACUGAGACACGGCCCAGACUCCUACGGGAGGCAGCAGUGGGGAAUUUGGACAAUGGGCGAAAGCCUGAUCC
rnacentral:rRNA from 1 species